CGGCGGCACCCCAGAUGUAACCUGGAGGACGGAGUGCCGAGCUUCUUCGUUGCUGCGCAUUAUCUCCUGUAUUUUACAGAGGCGACCGCGGCUAAUGAAGCAGCAGGAGGCGGAAACAAGGCAAUGCAUUGACAGCCAGAAGGCAGAGGAGAAGGCGAACUCGGCACGAUCAUCGCUGACGCUGAGCAGAUCCGACAGAAGAAACAACCGGACCAGGCAGAGAAACAACAGAGCUGAACAUGUUGGAGUCCGAGUGCGGGGAAAGGAGUGAAAGGUUGGUCGAUGAGCUGCAGAACACGAGUGGAAAAACAGCAAAGAAAAAAUGAGAAAGCCCUACGAGUAUCCGACCUGUCUGCUAUGAUGACCAUUAAGGCUGGGCCGGUGGUGCCGGUGGGCCUGCUGCUUCCCUGCUUACGUCCCCGUUGCACCACAGUGAGCUCGCUGGCCUGGAGCCGCUAACAAGCUGUGCAUUCAGACAGUUGAUGCUACAAAUGGAGCUGUGCACUGGACCAACUCUGGAGAUGAACAACUGAAGCGCUGCUGAAUCCCCUCGGCAAGGGAGGGAGCAAGACCUCCCACUCUCUGCAGACGAAGCUGAAACUGGGUCUGACUUUCAUUUAUCUCCGAUGCAUGAAGACUCUUGUGUCACUCUUGCAGCCAGCAGCAGAUGAUUUGUUUCUGCAGGCAGACAGAUGGAAGAAUGAGGCAGCCAGGAUUCUCUCAGCAGGCGGAUGUUGGCGACCCAAACCCAACAGCUUCACACUGAACCUGUAUGUCCAAGACAAGGUGGAGGCAUGUUAAAAAGGGGAGUUGGUGAAAAACGCUGUCAUGUAAUAACACAAGGAAGCUUUUGAAACUCUUUUUUGGAUCAGCUCAGUCAUUGUUACUGCAAAAAUGUAAGAAUGAGGAUGUGGUCGUAAAAACAAUUGUUUGGAAAUAUUUUGCUACAGAGAGGAUGAAGUUGACCACAAACACGUUCCCUGUAGUGUCAAUGAGACUAAUUUGAUGAGUGCUAAGUCAGAUCUGAAUGCCAUCCAAAUUAAAAAUAUCAUUUUGGAUCUGUUUGCCAGUGUUGCACCAUAUGCAAAGGGUCUUAAACAGCAGAGAGAAUCACCGGUGCGAUAACUUUUCACCUUGCAGAAGUCGUGUUACCGGUUAGGACAGUUAGCAAACAUGAUCCAGUGGCAUAGCACACCUGUUUUUGUUAACUGCCAUCCCAGAGCUACAUGAAAAAUCAAGUCCUGAUAGAUAUUAUUCAGCUACAACAGACUUGUGGUCCAGUUUGACUAUGGAGCUCUACAUAAGUUUGACCGUCCACUGUAUUAAUGAGGAAAAACACCUGAAAAGUUGCUCUUUGCAUUGUCAUCUUUACAGGAUGAUCAUGAAGCCAGAACAUGUAGGUGAAGAAAAGCAAAACUUUGGCGUCUUGAGACCUCGAUGAAAGACAUGAAGUCUGUAUAACAACCAACGAUGUGGUGAACAAGUGGACCAGACUGUGCCUUGCAGUUGGACAGCGUCGCGUCUCCGAAUCCUCUCAAGGACAUCGUUUCUCCUCUUCUCCUCAAAGCUGCACAACUCCCAUUGCUGCACGGCGGGGAAAUUGUUUCAAUUAGCGUUACAGAGGUGUUUUUCAUUUGCUUUUGACUAGUUGGUUUUAUCAUCCGCUAUAAAGAUGAAGUGGGCAACACAAACAAGACUCAUUAUCAUCGGCGGCGCUCUGUGCUCUUAACUAUCCGCUCCUUCUUCCGUGCACUAUUUGUCUGUGUUUGCUGCCAUCUCCCUCAAGAUUGAACGCUUUGCAUUAAAAACUGGGCCACCCUGGCAGCCUGACAAAUGAAGGCAGUCGCAUGUUUGGAGACACCUCGUUCAACAGUUAUUGAAGUUGAUAACUUAUAAUUUGCAUAUAGAUAAGGCAUUCUUACCUAGACUAAAUCUUUAGCAUAUAAAGUAGAAUUGUGCUCUCUUUUUUGGGGGGUUUAUUUUUCUUCAAGUUGAAUUGUACUGACAAAAGCUGGCAUACAAUUUGAAGGUAGAUUGAUUCGAAUGUUUGGGUGCUGCUUAGAAUUUAGUGAAGGCAAGAAUGUCAGCGUGCCACUUGACAAUGUAAUUACAAAUGACAAAUACUCAUUAGACCUUAAAGAGGAUGCAAAAACAAAGAAAUGUGAGCUUUUUCUCUGUUUGGGAAGACAACAGCUACUGUGCAAUUACCCAGUCAGGCUGAAUUCAACCCGUAAACACGAGCGUUCCAGGAUGAAUCAUGCAUGAAUCAUCUAAUAAAGUAAUAAGCAGAGGAAGAAUUUUCUCACAUGCUGAAAAAAGGAGAAGUCGACGAAAUAUCAGCCACCUUUCUGGGAGCUUCAGUCCCCAGUUUCUGCUCCUAUAUUUAGCUAAAUGCAUGUUUAAUACUGCUAGUUUUCUCCUCUUGAAACGGGAAUUGCCCUCGAAAGAGAAAAAAAAUCACUGGGCGGGUUGUUGAGGAUAAGGAGCUCAUCAGACACUGCAGGGAUAAGCCUGGUUAAUACCCUGUGAACUAAACAUCACACUGUUAAUGCAGGCUGCCAUUUUACCGGCUGCCAGGGAUGAAGGAAUUGCCACCCAAGUGAAACUGUCAAGGAGAUAUAUAUAGGCAUAUAUAUCAAACCAUAUGUGUUUUUUUUUUCUCUGAAAUACACCCUGUGCUGAGAUGUUGGCUCUAAUGGACUGUGUGUGCUUUAUUUGUUAGAAAAAUACCACAUUUCACACAAUACAUUAAUGCUAUUAUCAGGAUUAAAGCUCCAAUUAAAUUGUGUCCAUGAAUGUUAAAUGCGAUUAAAAAGGUCACAGUCAUUUUUCUAUGUACGUGUAGAGUUACAUGUUGCUGCCAAGUGCAGACAUCUGUGAUGCAGAAGCAGGUUGGAUUUAGUGAAGGGUCUGCAGGGGUUUUUUUUUUGUUUUUUUUUAAAACUCAGGAUACGAUUGACUGCAAGAUUGUUAUUUCUGACAGUUUCUGCCUCUGAAAGUGUGAAAGCACUUUCUGUUACAGGCAGAUAAGUUGGAUGAAAUACUCCAGCACUACAAGAACUCCUUGAGUAUUCAAAGUAGGGAACAGAAAGAACACAAAGUUCUCGGAUAACUUUGGGAUGCAAUCAUUCAAUGUGAGAAUUAUUUUACAGCCAAUGCCCUUUAUUAUUGACUUUGACAUAAACAAACGUGAUGCAUUAUUCACCUUUUUCUUGUUUACAAUAAAGGCUGCCAUUAUUUUAGAGCACAGUUUAACUUGAAACACUUCAGUUUGACUGAAGCAGGUCUAAUAGGGUAGAUCGAACACUAAAGGAGCAGAUGAUUUAAAACGACAGUGAAAUGGUUAAAGGACAGAGCAAAGAGACAAGUUAAAUUAUGUUUGUGUGAACCCUAUUACAGGUGCAAACUUGACACAGGCCAAUUCAGGGUUUUUGCAUCAUCAUGUGCUGGCUGGUACAGAAUGUAGAAGUUGGUGUGCACACAAUUUUGUUCAUACUACAAUAAAUUCAUGUCAGACUGAUACGUAAAUGGUUGCAAACACACCCGGUUCUGUGGAAGCUUACAGCAGCUCAUUUCAGAUUAGGCUGUAACUCUGUGUUAGUAAUUAUUCUUGUGUGGCUGGACAGAACACCGGGUAUCUGGAGAUUUUAGAACUUCUCACUGUUUGGCUUUUGGUAACAGGAAUCAUGUAGAAAUCAAAACGUUUGUAGGUCUUAUGGCGACUACUUAAAUUAUAACUCUGUCAGUGAUGAAUUAACCCUUCAUUGAAUUUUAUUUGAAUAUCCAAUUAUUGAAGUUUGCACUUUGGUACAACUGUUGUUUACAGAUUCAGCUGUAACAACAUGUCUGUGAUUAUUCUGGUCUGGGUGGAAAGAGCACAGGGUAUCUGGAGAUUUUAGAACUUCUCACUGUGUCGCUGUCCUGUAACUCUUGCAGUGACUGCUUGGAUUACAACUCUGUCAUUGAGGAAUUAAUCAUUCAUUCAACCUUUAUUUAAAUCUCCAGGAGCCUUGGAAGUUUGCACUUUGAUACAGCAGCUGGUUACAGACUCCACCGUAACACUGUGUCAGUGAUUAUUCUUGUGGGGGUGGACAGAACCUAGGAUAUUUGUAGAAAUCAAAGUCCAUGUAAGACUCGCAGCAACUAUUUCAAUUACUAUUCUGUCAGUAAUGAAAUCUUUACCUAUUCAAUAUUUAUUUAAAUCUCUAGGAAUCAUGAAUGAAAUUUUCAAAUCACUUUAUUGUUAUUGUACAAUGAAAUUCUGUUUGAUAUACUCAUAUUAAAACAGCGGAUGAAAACUAAAAACAAACAGGCAAUAAAACCAACAAACAAAAAACAUGUAGUUUAAGAAAAUAUUCAGUAUUCAGUUAUAGCAGCCACAUCAGUGAAGUGCAAAAUUUUAAAGUGCAAACGGUGUCUCGCUUCUUACGUUCUGGGAAAUGUGUAGGGGAUGUUCUCAUUUACAUUAAUGCCGAGAGUACAAUCAACAGAAUAAACAGGCAACACUCAACAAGAGAGCAAACAACAGAAUACAGUUACAAGCAGUUACAUUCAAACACAUUGUAACACAAACAUGGUCAACAAAGUGUGACUGCUUUCUCUGUCAGUGCAUAGAAGUAUGUGUUUGCACUUAUGCAGACCUCUGACUAUAAUAGAAGAAGGUUUAUACAUCCAGUAAACAGAGUCAAACAUUAACAUUCAUUUGAAGUUGUCUGUCUGACCACUUAAUGAUUUUACCUCCCUUAUUUACACACCCUUUGUUGCUUGAGAUCCCAACAUCUGUUUUUGUUAUUUCGGUCCUACAUUCCCUCCUUUGUUCAUCAGCUGGUUGCUGGCUGUGUUGUGGUGCUGAGCAGGUUGGAUACACCGGGUUUAUCAGAGUUUCUUCUUCACUGGAAACAGCUGCCUGCCUCAUCUGGAACUAAUGAGAGCAGUGACACCAUAUCAAAACAAUUAGGUUCAGGGCCAUAAAGCCAAAACAAUGCGCUGAAUAAAGCUAAUGGGCUCCACGGAGCUAAGAGGAACUGCAGCAUCACAACUCUCUGACUUCAUCCACACUUUAUUGAUCAGUAGUUACUAUGAAAGUAGUGAUUGCUCACUCUGAAAUUCCACUAGCUAAAUAGCUUUCUUCAAAUACACCAGCAAA